GAUGAACGCUAGCGGCAGGCCUAAUACAUGCAAGUCGAACGGUGUCUUCGGACAUAGUGGCGCACGGGUGCGUAACACGUAUGCAACCUACCUUACAUUGGGGGAUAGCCUUUCGAAAGGGAGAUUAAUACCGCAUAAGACAGUAGCUGGGCAUCCAGCAGCUGUUAAAGAUUUAUCGAUGUAAGCUGGGCAUGCGUCCAAUUAGCUAGUUGGUGAGGUAACGGCUCACCAAGGCAAUGAUUGGUAGGGGAACUGAGAGGUCAAUCCCCCACACUGGCACUGAGAUACGGGCCAGACUCCUACGGGAGGCAGCAGUAGGGAAGAUUGGGCAAUGGACGCAAGUCUGACCCAGCCAUGCCGCGUGCAAGAUGAAGGCGUUAUGCGUUGUAAACUGCUUUUAUACAGGAAGAAACGACUCUUGCGAGAGGCAUUGACGGUACUGUAUGAAUAAGCACCGGCUAACUCCGUGCCAGCAGCCGCGGUAAAAC
rnacentral:rRNA from 1 species